GAACCAGACUCCUACGGGAGGCAGCAGUGAGGAAUAUUGGGCAAUGGAGGCAACUCUGACCCAGCCAUGCCGCGUGAGUGAAGAAGGUUUUCGGAUUGUAAAGCUCUUUCGGAUGUGACGAUGAUGACGGUAGCAUCUAAAGAAGCCCCGGCUAACUUCGUGCCAGCAGCCGCGGUAAUACGUAGGGGGCAAGCGUUAUCCGGAUUUACUGGGUGUAAAGGGAGCGUAGACGGCGAUGCAAGCCAGAUGUGAAAGCCCGCGGCUCAACUGCGGUAGUGCAUUUGGAACUGUAUGGCUGGAGUGCAGGAGAGGCAGGCGGAAUUCCUAGUGUAGCGGUGAAAUGCGUAGAUAUUAGGAGGAACACCAGUGGCGAAGGCGGCCUGCUGGACUGUAACUGACGUUGAGGCUCGAAAGCGUGGGGAGCAAACAGGAUUAGAUACCCUAGUAC
rnacentral:rRNA from 1 species